UACGUAGGGUGCAAGCGUUAUCCGGAUUUACUGGGUGUAAAGGGCGAGUAGACGGCGUUGCAAGUCAGAUGUGAAAACCUAGGGCUCAACCGUAGGACUGCAUCUGAAACUGUAAUGCUAGAGUGCAGGAGAGGUAAGCGGAAUUCCUAGUGUAGCGGUGAAAUGCGUAGAUAUUAGGAGGAACACCAGUGGCGAAGGCGGCUUACUGGACUGUAACUGACGUUGAGGAGCGAAAGUGUGGGGAGCAAACA
rnacentral:rRNA from 1 species